AGCGAACGCUGGCGGCAGGCCUAACACAUGCAAGUCGAGCGCCCAGCAAUGGGAGCGGCAGACGGGAUAGUAACACGUGGGAACGUACCCUUCAGUUCGGAACAACCCAGGGAAACGUUAGGGCUAAUACCGAAUACGUCCGUAAGGAGAAAGAUUUAUCGCUGAAGGAUCGGCCCGCGUCUGAUUAGCUAGUUGGUGAGGUAACGGCUCACCAAGGCGACGAUCAGUAGCUGGCUGAGAGGAUGAUCAGCAUCACUGGGACUGAGACACGGCCCAGACUCCUACGGGAGGCAGCAGUGGGGAAGUAUUGGACAAUGGGCGCAAGCCUGAUCCAGCCAUGCC
rnacentral:rRNA from 1 species